UUUGUUUACGGGACGAGAAAAUAUAAAUUUAAUGGGACGAGAAAAUAUAAUAAAAAUGUGUCCCAUCUUUUCCUAUACCAGUAUAUAUUGAUUUAUCUAUUCGUAACAAAGCAACGGCACUACUCGCUUACGAGUUAACACGUAUGCAACUUUGUGAAUAAUUGUUUUUUUUUGUAUGGCUGACUAUUUAGACAACCUGGUAGUCACUAAUGGGCUGGAGCAAUUCCCGCUAAGUGUCUUGCAAGAGAAUUAACGAAUUAGACAGUUUAAAACCAAUGUUAAUUUUGAUUAAUAAGUGAAUUUAUUAUUAGGACUAGCCUAUACACGUAAAAAGUACGAAAUAAUAUACUGUAUGCUUUGAAAUGUCAUAAAUUAUCCUCUACAAGUGCUGCAAGUGACUGAGUUUCGAAUACAUUUUCCAACUAUUAUCGUGUUAUUAUAGUAGGAUGAGGGAAGAUGGUAUAUUUCAAUUUGGUGUCCCAUCUUUCCCCAGAUUGUAGUUUUCUAGGUUUUUAUUGCCAAACUUUGAAAGGUUUGCUUUUAUUUCAAUAUUUUUUAUAUCUCAUGGGUGAUUCAAACAUUAUACUGGCAUAAUAACAACAUAAUAUUUGAAAAAAAUCGAAAUUCAGUCAUUUUCACAAAUAAUUCAUGAGAAGUGGCUUGUCCGAAGAAUAGUGUAGCAAUACCCAAUUUGUAGCAAAAACGUAAACUUUAUUAACUCGAAACAAUGAUACACGACACAAUAGAAGAUGUUAUGUCACACCUGUUACAUAUUUCUUCGAAGUGUCUUCAAUUAAUAAAGUUAUGAUAGUACAAAUCCAUGGCAUCACCCAAACUUUGUCAUACAUUUUGAGUUAGGAAAUGUUGGUUGGGCAAUAUGUGACUAAGCGUCCCAUCGUACCCCACCGUAAUAUGCGGAUUAUGCAUGUAUUGUGGCGGAGAAUAAUGUGUUUUCAUAAACUUGAAAUUUCGGCGAUACCUCUGUAUUUAAAUGUCGUCAAACAUAGUUAUAUUAUUUUUGAAUUCCUUGUUAUUGAGACGAAUCAUCUAACACGAACCCUUACCAAUUUCGACCUAUAGUAGGGUUGGGAAAGAUGGGAUACCUUUUCAUUCUAGAAGUAGAAUAAUUUUUUAGGCACCGUUAGAAAGGUAUUAAUGAGACGUAUAGUAUAAAUGCAACCCUUUUUAAUUUUGACCUAUAUUUAAAAAAAUAUCCGCAACCACGCGGAAUAGAAAUCACAUUUUUAGUCAUAACUUCGUAAAUAUUGGAGGUAGAAUUAAUUUUUAGGCACCGUUAGAAUGGUAUUAUUAAGACGAAAAAUAUAAAUGCAACACUUUUUAAUUUUGACCUAUAUUUAAAAAAAUAUCCGCAACCACGCGCAACAACGCGCAACCACGCGCAACCACGCGCAACCCGCACAUUUUAAAGGGACCCGACAGCGACCUUGAGCCUCUACUUUUAAAACAAACUAGUUUAUCAGCCUUCCUUUAGUCGAUUCAAUAUUGUCCGAUACAAUUGGACAGAGCAUAUCAAUUAAAGGUCCUAUAAUCUUAGAGGCUUCAAGAACAAAAAA